UUUUUGGUUGUUUAGGCUGAGUGAUGUACUUAGCUGAGGUAUGAUGUUGUAGGGAUCAUUUCCCGUUGUUUUGAGUAGCAUAGGUAUUAGUAGAGUGUGCUAAUACUAUGAUUUAAUUAUAUGGCAUGAGAUGAUGUGCUCUUGUGAUAAAUGUGUUGAUGACAUGUGUGGAUAUGCAUGAUGCUGUGAAUGUAUCAGUUAUGUAUGCAUUGGUGAAAUAGACUGUUUUAUGGCUUAGAGUGUGAGCUUAUGUCUAUUCUUGAAUUGUUGUUGUUGUUGUUGCAUUGCUAGGUGAUUAGCAGGCAUGUUCUAGCCUUUGGGGCUGUAGCUAAUUCCCAUUGUGAGGAAUUAGUGAGUGAAUUGUUGUGAUAAUUGUUGUUGAUGUUUGCAUGCUAGAUGAUUAGCUUGCAUAGUCUAGCCUUCGGGGCUGUAGCUAAUUCCCAUGGUGAGGAAUUAGUGAGUGAGUCAUUAGAUCUCAAUGAGUGGGACUAGUGAGCUUAGUAGCCGUAUCCGGAGGGAUCGGUGAGCUUGAACUGUAUGUUCAAGAAGAGUCGG
rnacentral:lncRNA from 1 species